CCUACGGGAGACAGCAGUGAGGAAUAUUGGUCAAUGGGCGCGAGCCUGAACCAGCCAAGUAGCGUGAAGGAUGACUGCCCUACGGGUUGUAAACUUCUUUUAUAAAGGAAUAAAGUGAGGCACGUGUGCCUUUAUGUAUGUACUUGAUGAAUAAGGAUCGGCUAACUCCGUGCCAGCAGCCGCGGUAAUACGGAGGAUCCGAGCGUUAUCCGGAUUUAUUGGGUUUAAAGGGAGCGUAGAUGGGUUGUUAAGUCAGUUGUGAAAGUUUGCGGCUCAACCGUAAAAUUGCAAUUGAUACUGGCAGUCUUGAGUACAGUUGAGGUAGGCGGAAUUCGUGGUGUAGCGGUGAAAUGCUUAGAUAUCACGAAGAACUCCGAUUGCGAAGGCAGCUUACUAAACUGCCACUGACAUUGAUGCUCGAAAGUGUGGGUAUCAAACAGGAUUAGAUACCCUUGUAGUC
rnacentral:rRNA from 1 species